rnacentral:rRNA from 1 species
CAGUAGCCGCGGUAAUGCGUAGGUGGCAAGCGUUGUCCGGAAUUAUUGGGCGUAAAGCGCGCGCAGGCGGAUCAGUCAGUCUGUCUUAAAAGUUCGGGGCUUAACCCCGUGAUGGGAUGGAAACUGCUGAUCUAGAGUAUCGGAGAGGAAAGUGGAAUUCCUAGUGUAGCGGUGAAAAGCGUAGAUAUUAGGAAGAACACCAGUGGCGAAGGCGACUUUCUGGACGAAAACUGACGCUGAGGCGCGAAAGCCAGGGGAGCGAACGGGAUUAGAUACCCCCGUAGUCCCUGUCUCUUAUACA